rnacentral:rRNA from 1 species
UACGGGGGGGGCAAGCGUUGUUCGGAAUUACUGGGCGUAAAGGGCUCGUAGGCGGCCAACUAAGUCAGACGUGAAAUCCCCAGGCUUAACCUGGGAACUGCGUCUGAUACUGGAUGGCUUGAAUUCGGGAGAGGGAUGCAGAAUUCCAGGUGUAGCGGUGAAAUGCGUAGAUAUCUGGAGGAAUACCGGUGGCGAAGGCGGCAUCCUGGACCGAGAUUGACGCUGAGGCACGAAAGCGUGGGGAGCGAACGGG